AAUCCAUGUUACGGGCAUUGGCGAAGUAAACCUUUGUAUCAUUCCCAAGCCUAAAUAGCAUUCUGAGUCCUGCUGUUCAAAAAUAGUAAUCUCGUCCCUCAAGUU
rnacentral:snoRNA from 1 species